rnacentral:rRNA from 1 species
AUUGAACGCUGGCGGCAGGCCUAACACAUGCAAGUCGAGCGGAUGACGGGAGCUUGCUCCUGGAUUCAGCGGCGGACGGGUGAGUAAUGCCUAGGAAUCUGCCUGGUAGUGGGGGACAACGUUUCGAAAGGAACGCUAAUACCGCAUACGUCCUACGGGAGAAAGCAGGGGACCUUCGGGCCUUGCGCUAUCAGAUGAGCCUAGGUCGGAUUAGCUAGUUGGUGAGGUAAUGGCUCACCAAGGCGACGAUCCGUAACUGGUCUGAGAGGAUGAUCAGCCACACUGGAACUGAGACACGGUCCAGACUCCUACGGGAGGCAGCAGUGGGGAAUAUUGGACAAUGGGCGAAAGCCUGAUCCAGCCAUGCCGCGUGUGUGAAGAAGGUCUUCGGAUUGUAAAGCACUUUAAGUUGGGAGGAAGGGUUGUAGAUUAAUACUCUGCAAUUUUGACGUUACCGACAGAAUAAGCACCGGCUAACUCUGUGCCAGCCGCCGCCGUAA